GGCGGAGUAGCUCAGUCGGCUAGAGCAGCGGAAUCAUAAUCCGUGUGUCGGGGGUUCGAUUCCCUCCUCCGCUACCA
rnacentral:tRNA from 1 species